rnacentral:ncRNA from 1 species
AUAAUGGUACUCCCGUAAGGACAAUGAACGAUAACGGUUUAUUCCAUACGGCUCGGAGAGAUCCUCGGAGGGGUGAGAUUCCCGUG